AUGACUAAGAACAAUUUACUUAAAAGGGACAUAGAUAGGAACCCUGACUGUCUUUUUUGCUCCGAACAGGAAACUGUAAACCAGUUGUUUUUUGACUGUGUGGUUGCAAGAAACAUCUGGGAUGCAGUCUCCUCGUUUCUUUCCAUAGAAGUAGGAUCUCGUUAUUAUUCCAUAGCCAAAUUUUGGCCUACUAACAAGAAACAUGAAGUGCUUAAUGCCUUUUGUGCUUGUGUCUUGUGGUGCCUGUGGAAAACUAGAAAUAACGUUUUUGAUAAUGCAGUCUGGUCUGAUGUUAAACAGAUCUGGUGGCUGAUCUGGAGGAUCCUCAAGAGGUGGAUGAUUCUGUACACCGAGGACUCGCUUGAGAAAAUGCAGGGGAUACUACAUUGGAUAUCCUGCAUACUCAAAAGUCCACUCCAAUUGACUUUGGGGUGA
rnacentral:rRNA from 1 species